GCCAGGUGUGGUGAUGAACAUCUGUAAUCCCAUGACUUGGGAGGCUGAGGCAGGAGGAUUGAAAGUUUGAAGCCAGCCUCAGCAACUAGCAAGGCCCUAAGUAAUUUUGUAAGAUCCUGUCUCAA
rnacentral:sRNA from 1 species